GGUAAUGACGUUAGGAAAGCGAGCGGCGGAUGGGUGAGUAACACGUGGGGAACCUGCCCCAUAGUCUGGGAUACCACUUGGAAACAGGUGCUAAUACCGGAUAAGAAAGCAGAUCGCAUGAUCAGCUUUUAAAAGGCGGCGUAAGCUGUCGCUAUGGGAUGGCCCCGCGGUGCAUUAGCUAGUUGGUAAGGUAAAGGCUUACCAAGGCGAUGAUGCAUAGCCGAGUUGAGAGACUGAUCGGCCACAUUGGGACUGAGACACGGCCCAAACUCCUACGGGAGGCAGCAGUAGGGAAUCUUCCACAAUGGACGCAAGUCUGAUGGAGCAACGCCGCGUGAGUGAAGAAGGUUUUCGGAUCGUAAAGCUCUGUUGUUGGUGAAGAAGGAUAGAGGUAGUAACUGGCCUUUAUUUGACGGUAAUCAACCAGAAAGUCACGGCUAACUACGUGCCAGCAGCCGCGGUAAUACGUAGGUGGCAAGCGUU
rnacentral:rRNA from 1 species